AAUCAACGCUGGCGGCGUGCCUCAGACAUGCAAGUCGAACGCGAAAUCCCGAGCAAUCGGGAGAGUAGAGUGGCGCACGGGUGAGUAACACGUAGGUAAUCUACCUUCGGAUGGGGAAUAACAACCGGAAACGGUUGCUAAUACCGCAUAAUGCAGCGGCACCUAAUGGUGACAGUUGUUAAAGCGGGGGAUCGAAAGACCUCGCGUCUGAAGAGGAGCCUGCGGCGGAUUAGCUAGUUGGUAAGGUAAUGGCUUACCAAGGCAACGAUCCGUAACCGGCCUGAGAGGGCGGUCGGUCACACUGACACUGACAUACGGGUCAGACUCCUACGGGAGGCAGCAGUCGGGAAUUUUGGGCAAUGGGCGAAAGCCUGACCCAGCAACGCCGCGUGAAGGAU
rnacentral:rRNA from 1 species